AUGGAAGCUGUGUUCAGGCCGGUCCACGCUGGGUGACCCAUGUGACCUGCUGCUUAGCAAUUCCUUGUCACCAUCUUCCCUUCUCAGCCUCUUUUUUCAUGCUAACAGGCAUAAAUGAAAUGAUAAAAGUUUGAGCUCUUCUCGUGGAAUUCUCGUGAUACAGAUAUGUGCUACAUGUUCAUCAUCUCGUUGGUCUUCACCAUGAUAACUGUGGAGUAAGAAUUAUAAGCAGGUCACAGAUUAGGGACUUGAGAUUGACAGUUUGGCUUCCCUGUUCUGGGUGGCAAAGCCUGUGGAGUACUCACCUACCUGCUGCAUGAAGGCAGCAUGGAGGGACUGUGGUGGAUUAUCUGCAAAGAUGGCCAAAAUUCUCUCAUCCCUGCAGGCACAUACAAGAUGGUGCCUGGUGUUCGAAGGGAGAACUUGUGGGCAGAGCAGGAAGCGUGAGUAUGGUUGAAGGAUCAAAUAUUUGGUUCAGGCAUCAGGGAGCCAGCAAGACUAUGAUGCUGGGAAACACAAGUGAUGUACUGUUGGAUUUAAUCUACUUGGAAAAAACCUAGGAAAACCAAAAUGUCAUCAACUAACACCUGAAAUGCCUCAGCACCAUCUGUCUCCAACAUUAAACAAAACCCACGAGAUUCCAGGAGAAAGAAAAUAGGAAAUUUAAUGAUGAACUUAACCUGAGUAACUUGAUAAAUGUUACCUUUGUGGCUAGCCAUUCACCAGCAAGUCCCUAAAAUGACCUGAAACCUGAAGAGUGUUUCACCCAUGAAAGGGUUUGCUCUCUCUGGGCAUGGCUACCCAGCACAUAUGUUAGUCAACUUUCUUUCCCUUGCAGGGCCCCUUGGAAAACUAGUUUGAAUCAUUCAUUAACUCAGCUCCACUCCUUCCCUUUCCCAUGGACCAUAGUUUCUUUGAGCAAUUAAAACUUAUAAGACACCAAAA
ensembl:lncRNA MIR7515HG MIR7515 host gene